GCUGAGACCUGAGAGCAGCUGCACUCUGACCAUGGCUUUGCAGAGCACUCUGGAAGCAGUGUGGCUGGGGGUCCUCCUCAGCUCUCCCUGGAAGGUUGCAGAGGGCAAGGACCAAGUGCUUCAGCCUUCCGCCGUCUCUGCUUCGGAGGGCUCUGUGGUGGAAAUCUCCUGCAAUCACUCUAUAUCCACUGCUUACAACUUCUUCUGGUACCUUCACUUCCCAGGAAGGGCUCCAAGACUCCUGAUUAAGGGCUCAGGGCCUUCUCAGCAGGGACGCUACAACAUGACAUAUGAGCGAUUCUCGUCUUCGCUGCUCAUCCUCCAAGUGCAGGUGGCAGAUGCUGCCAUUUACUACUGUGCUCUGGAGGGCACAGAGGCACUGAGCCUAUGAAGAGCUGAACAGAAACAGGGAGGGUCACAGCCUUUGCAGGAGGUGGAAAAGAGAUGAGCAAUAACUGCUCUCCUCCCCAAGCAUCUCCAUUCGGCACUAUCAGAAAACAUUUUGAGCGCAGACACACUGUACAUGAGCAAAUGUACAUAAGAAAAUAUGCUUCUAAGGAGUGAAUCAAUAAGCGUGCUGUAAAUCUGCAUUUCAAAUAGUUUUCUUGAUGAUUGAAACAUUCUUGAUGAAUUUCUUUUGAGAUCUGACUACUAGAUUAUUUUUGCUUUUAAAUGGCAUCUGCUAGCUUCAGUCUCUUUGCAGGAGUAUUAUCAAGACACAUGUCCAUCUUGUAAAGAAUAGUUUUGUUGACACUGGAUAAUAUCAUAAGAAGCUGAAAGGAAUCAAUGAGUGAGAAACUCUACCAACAGCCAUGAGUGUGGAACCUCAAUCCUUCCAUCAGGAUAUCUUGUGAAGAAAGUACAAUUUUCUUAGUUGGAUUGUAUUCCUUGUCAGAAUUUCAUAUAAAAAAUGCUGA